rnacentral:rRNA from 1 species
UACGGAGGAUGCAAGCGUUAUCCGGAAUGAUUGGGCGUAAAGCGUCCGCAGGUGGCUAUGUAAGUCUGCUGUUAAAGAGCAAGGCUCAACCUUGUAAAGGCAGUGGAAACUACAUGGCUAGAGUGCGUUCGGGGCAGAGGGAAUUCCUGGUGUAGCGGUGAAAUGCGUAGAGAUCAGGAAGAACACCGGUGGCGAAAGCGGCAUCCUGGACCAACACUGACGCUGAUGAGCGAAAGCUAGGGGAGCAAACGGG